rnacentral:rRNA from 1 species
AGGACGACGCUGGCGGCGUGCCUAAUACAUGCAAGUCGAACGGUCUUUCUAUGGAAGCUUGCUUCCACUGAGAAGAUAGUGGCGAACGGGUGAGUAACACGUGGGUAACCUGCCCAUAAGAGGGGGAGUAACAUCCGGAAACGGGUGCUAAUACCGCAUAGUUUUCUUGAUCGCAUGAUCGGGAAAGGAAAGACGGCCUUUGUGCUGUCGCUUAUGGAUGGACCCGCGGCGUAUUAGUUAGUUGGUGAGGUAACGGCUCACCAAGACGAUGAUACGUAGCCGACCUGAGAGGGUGAUCGGCCACAUUGGGACUGAGACACGGCCCAAACUCCUACGGGAGGCAGCAGUAGGGAAUCUUCCGCAAUGGACGAAAGUCUGACGGAGCAACGCCGCGUGAGUGAAGAAAAGGUUUUCGGAUCGUAAAACUCUGUUGUCAGAGAAGAACAAGUUGGAGAGUAACUGCUCCAGCCUUGACGGUAUCUGACCAGAAAGCCACGGCUAACUACGUGCCAGCCGCUGC